rnacentral:rRNA from 1 species
CAGCAGCCACGGUAAUACGUAGGCGGCAAGCGUUGUCCGGAAUUAUUGGGCGUAAAGGGAGCGCAGGUGGGACGGUAAGUCCGUCUUAAAAGGCAAGGGCUCAGCCCCUGUAAGGGAUGGAAGCUAUCGAUCUUGAGUGCCGGAGAGGAAAGCGGAAUUCCCAGUGUAGCAGUGAAAUGCGUAGAUAUUGGGAAGAACACCAGUGGCGAAGGCGGCUUUCUGGACGGCAACUGACACUGAGGCUCGAAAGCCAGGGGAGCGAACGGGAUUAGAUACCCCCGUAGUCCCUGUCUCUUAUACA